AUUGAACGCUGGCGGCAGGCCUAACACAUGCAAGUCGAGCGAGCGGCGGACGGGUGAGUAAUGUAUGGGGACUGCCCGAUAGAGGGGGAUUACCACUGGAAACGGUGGCUAAUACCGCAUACUAUCGGAUAACCCAUAUGGGAUUAGCUUGUAGGUGGGGUAAAGGCUCACCUAGGCGACGAUCUCUAGCUGGUCUGAGAGGAUGAUCAGCCACACUGGGACUGAGACACGGCCCAGACUCCUACGGAGGCAGCAGUGGGGAAUAUUGGACAAUGGGGGCAAGCCUGAUGCAGCCAUGCCGCGUGUAUGAAGAAGGCCUUAGGGUUGUAAAGUACUUUCGGCAGGGAGGCGGUACCCGCAGAAGAAGCACCGGCUAACUCCGUGCCAGCAGCCGCGGUAAUUC
rnacentral:rRNA from 1 species